GCGUUUCACUUGUUCAGCAAUGAGUUUUUUAUCAUUAUUAUUAUUUAGCUUGGUCCCGUCUCUAACGAAUUUUGCUGAUGCUGGCCCUUGUUUCCCCUUCUACACCCAUCCAUAUCUUCCCUACCGUGGGCGGCUGCGUUGAUGCUGUCCAAGAUCGCCAAGAGCUCGUCACCCACACGUGUGCCCCUUCAAAAGCAGCUUGCUGAUGAGCUACUUCUUCAGUGGGCAUGUGGGCAGCACUUGUUCCACAAUGCCUCAUGCGCAACUCUUCUUCGCUCCGCAG